rnacentral:rRNA from 1 species
CAGUCGCCACGGUAAUACGUAGGGUGCGAGCGUUAAUCGGAAUUACUGGGCGUAAAGCGUGCGCAGGCGGUUAUAUAAGACAGAUGUGAAAUCCCCGGGCUCAACCUGGGACCUGCAUUUGUGACUGUAUAGCUAGAGUACGGUAGAGGGGGAUGGAAUUCCGCGUGUAGCAGUGAGAUGCGUAGAUAUGCGGAGGAACACCGAUGGCGAAGGCAAUCCCCUGGACCUGUACUGACGCUCAUGCACGAAAGCGUGGGGGGCAAACAGGAUUAGAUACCCCUGUAGUCCCUGUCUCUUAUAC